rnacentral:rRNA from 1 species
UACGGAGGGUGCAAGCGUUAUCCGGAUUCACUGGGUUUAAAGGGUGCGUAGGUGGGUUUGUAAGUCCGUGGUGAAAUCUCCGAGCUUAACUCGGAAACUGCCGUGGAUACUAUCAAUCUUGAAUACUGUGGAGGUAAGCGGAAUAUGUCAUGUAGCGGUGAAAUGCUUAGAUAUGACAUAGAACACCGAUAGCGGAGGCAGCUUGCUACACAGUCAUUGACACUGAGGCACGAAAGCGUGGGGAUCAAACAGG